CUACUGGUCAAAAGUUUUAGAACACUCCAACUUUUCCAGAAUUGAAUUGAAAAUUAUGCAGUUUAAUGUCUCAGUGUACUCUGAAAUUAAUGCACAUUUGCAACAUUUAAAAUUCUUUAUUGAGCAUGAUAGUGUUUUGAAAGUAAAAAAAAGAUUCAAAAUCACAUUUUAUGUUGGACUAAAGGACUAAAAAAAAGACACAAAAUGACUUACAAAGACAUGAAAAGAAUUGAAAAAUUGACAAAAUAGCCCAAGACUCCAUAGAGUUAAGUUGUUAACCCAUUUCUUGUUCCAUGAAAAAGGCCUACUUGUAUAAUUCUGAAAUGUACAUUAUUUUUCAGUUUUGGUUAACCUUACCUUUUUUUAUUUACCUCUGGCAGUUCACCACUUACCUUUGUACCCUUUCAAGCUGUUCAUUUGACUUGAACUGCUUGAAUUUCAAUAAAAAACUGGAAAAAUUGGGGUGUUCUAAAACUUUUGACCGGUAGUGUAAAUCCACUGGUCUUUGUUAUUAGACAUUCUUUAUUUCAAGCCGUGUUAAACAACAGAUGAAUGUGUUAUAUUUUGUCCAAUCAGAUAUCAGUAUUAGCUGGUGAAGCUGAAAAAAGCUUUUUGUAACUUCUUUCAAAUGAUUGGAGACAUCUGGUUUAACGGAUAGUUAAGAUUUUUUGAAGCGAGGUUGCAUGAGGUACUUACCCAAAAUACGUUGUUUUUCCUUCAAGAAAUGACUCUGCAAUUUUGAUGAUUCGCAUAAAAAAAAACAUUUUUACGCUCGCUUGAGGUGUUUUUUGUCUUUUUUGAAAAAUAGUUAAUGCUUUAAACAUUAGAUGGAAACACUUUCUGAAUAAAUUCUGAACAUUUAAUUCA